GUAAAUAAUAAAGGGCGUAUGGUGGAUGCCUAGGCUCUCAGAGGCGAUGAAGGACGUGAUAAGCUGCGAAAAGCUCCGUUUAGGUGCAAAUAACCUUUGAUGCGGAGAUCUCCGAAUGGGAUAACCCAAUAUGUUGAAGACAUAUUAUACCGUAAGGUAGGCAAACGCAGGGAACUGAAACAUCUAAGUACCUGCAGGAGAAGAAAACAAACGUGAUUCCCCCAGUAGCGGCGAGCGACCGGGGAAAAGCCCAAACCGUUAUUGUUUCGGCAUUAACGGGGUAGUAGGACUGCAAGCUUGAUGAAAUAAAUGAAAUGGAACACCUUGGAAAAUGUGAUCACAGAGGGUGAUAAUCCCGUACAUGCAAGUUUAUGAAUCAUAGCAGACUCCUGAGUAAGUCGGGACACGUGUAAUCCUGACCGAAUCCGCCGGGACCAUCCGGCAAGGCUAAAUACUCCUGAGAGACCGAUAGUGAACCAGUACCGUGAGGGAAAGGUGAAAAGCACUUCGAACAGAAGAGUGAAAUAGUCCCUGAAACCGUGCGCCUACAAGCGGUCGGAGCUCGUUAAUGAGUGACGGCGUGCCUUUUGCAUAAUGAGCCUACGAGUUACUCAUCACCAGCGAGGUUAAGUACUUCAGGUACGUAAGCCGAAGCGAAAGCGAGUCUGAAUAGGGCGUCAAGUUGGUGGUGGUAGACGCGAAACCUUAGUGAUCUACCCAUGGGCAGGGUGAAGGUUUGGUAACACAAACUGGAGGCCCGAACCGGUAAACGUUGAAAAGUUUUCGGAUGACCUGUGGGUAGGGGUGAAAGGCCAAUCAAACUGGGAAAUAGCUCGUACUCUCCGAAAUGCAUUUAGGUGCAGCCUCUGUUGUUUUGUUCUAGAGGUAGAGCUACUGAUUGGAUGCGAGGGCUUCACCGCCUAUCAAAUCCGGCCAAACUCCGAAUGCUAGAACAUGAAGACAGGGAGUGAGCCAGCGGGUGCUAAGGUCCGUUGACGAAAGAGGGAGAACUCAGACCAUCAGCUAAGGUCCCCAAUUAUAUGCUAAGUUGGAAUUAAAACGGGGUGGGACUGCUUAGACAGCUAGGAUGUUGGCUUGGAAGCAGCCAUUCAUUUAAAGAGUGCGUAACAGCUCACUAGUCGAGCGGUCCUGCAUGGAUAAUACGCGGGCAUAAGCAUAUAACCGAAGCUAUGGGAUUGUAGAUGAUACAAUCGGUAGGAGAGCAUUCCAUUCAGCAUAGAAGCAGUAUCGUGAGGUAUUGUGGAGCGGAUGGAAAAGCAAAUGUAGGCAUAAGUAACGAUAAUGCGGGUGAGAACCCCGCACGCCGAAAGAUCAAGGAUUCCCCGGCAAUGUCAAUCAUCCGGGGGUAAGUCGGAUCCUAAGGGUAAGCCGAGUGGCGAUCCCGAUGGCAAACAGGUUAAUAUUCCUGUACUGAUCAUAACUGCGAUGCAGCGACGCAGAGGUGACACUGCUGCGUACUGACGGAAUAGUACGUUGAAACCCGUAUUCUUUGAUACCGGUAGUGAAGCACGCCGGUAGAGAUGAAAGGUGAUAGUACCGCAAUGCUUCGGUUGCGCGGAUAACGCAGGUAAGCUGACUGCCAAGAAAACCUGCUAAGCUUCAGGUAAUGAUCAUCCGUACUGUAAACGGACACACGUGAUCAGGUAGAAAAUACUAAGGCGCUCGAGAGAUUCAUGGUUAAGGAACUAGGCAAAAUGGUCCUGUAACUUCGGGAUAAAGGACGCUCUUGUGAAAGAGCCGCAGAUAAUAGGCCCAGGCGACUGUUUACCAAAAACACAUGGCUAUGCUAAUUCGCAAGAAGAUGUAUAUGGCCUGACACCUGCCCGGUGCCGGAAGGUUAAGAGGAGAGCUCAGAGGCAACUCGAAGGUUUGAAUUGAAGCCCCGGUAAACGGCGGCCGUAACUAUAACGGUCCUAAGGUAGCGAAAUUCCUUGUCGGGUAAGUUC
rnacentral:rRNA from 1 species